rnacentral:rRNA from 1 species
GUUGUAUGGUUAAGUGACUAAGCGUACACGGUGGAUGCCUGGGCAGUCAGAGGCGAUGAAGGACGUACUAACUUGCGAUAAGCGCAGAUAAGGCAGUAAGAGCCGUUUGAGUCUGCGAUUUCCGAAUGGGGAAACCCAACUGCAUAAGCAGUUACUGUUAACUGAAUACAUAGGUUAACAGAGCAAACCGGGGGAACUGAAACAUCUAAGUACCCCGAGGAGAAGAAAUCAACCGAGAUUCCGGUAGUAGCGGCGAGCGAACCUGGAUUAGCCCUUAAGCACUCGGUGAAGUAGGUGAACAAGCUGGAAAGCUUGGCGAUACAGGGUGAUAGCCCCGUAACCGACGCUUCAUCGAGCGUGAAAUCGAGUAGGGCGGGACACGUGAUAUCCUGUCUGAAUAUGGGGGGACCAUCCUCCAAGGCUAAAUACUCCUGACUGACCGAUAGUGAACCAGUACCGUGAGGGAAAGGCGAAAAGAACCCCUGUGAGGGGAGUGAAAUAGAACCUGAAACCGUGUACGUACAAGCAGUAGGAGCACCUUCGUGGUGUGACUGCGUACCUUUUGUAUAAUGGGUCAGCGACUUAUAUUCAGUGGCAAGGUUAACCGUAUAGGGGAGCCGUAGCGAAAGCGAGUCUUAACUGGGCGCUCAGUCUCUGGAUAUAGACCCGAAACCGGGUGAUCUAGCCAUGGGCAGGUUGAAGGUUGAGUAACAUCAACUGGAGGACCGAACCGACUAAUGUUGAAAAAUUAGCGGAUGACUUGUGGCUAGGGGUGAAAGGCCAAUCAAACUCGGAGAUAGCUGGUUCUCCCCGAAAGCUAUUUAGGUAGCGCCUCGGACGAAUACUACUGGGGGUAGAGCACUGUUAAGGCUAGGGGGUCAUCCCGACUUACCAACCCUUUGCAAACUCCGAAUACCAGUAAGUACUAUCCGGGAGACACACGGCGGGUGCUAACGUCCGUCGUGGAGAGGGAAACAACCCAGACCGCCAGCUAAGGUCCCAAAGUAUUGCUAAGUGGGAAACGAUGUGGGAAGGCUCAGACAGCUAGGAUGUUGGCUUAGAAGCAGCCAUCAUUUAAAGAAAGCGUAAUAGCUCACUA